ACGGAAGGCAGCAGUGGGGAAUAUUGCACAAUGGGCGAAAGCCUGAUGCAACGACGCCGCGUGAGCGAAGAAGUAUUUCGGUAUGCAAAGCUCUAUCAGCAGGGAAGAUAAUGACGGUACCUGACUAAGAAGCACCGGCUAAAUACGUGCCAGCAGCCGCGGUAAUACGUAUGGUGCAAGCGUUAUCCGGAUUUACUGGGUGUAAAGGGAGCGCAGGCGGUACGGCAAGUCUGAUGUGAAAGCCCGGGGCUCAACCCCGGUACUGCAUUGGAAACUGUCGGACUAGAGUGUCGGAGGGGUAAGUGGAAUUCCUAGUGUAGCGGUGAAAUGCGUAGAUAUUAGGAGGAACACCAGUGGCGAAGGCGGCUUACUGGACGAUAACUGACGCUGAGGCUCGAAAGCGUGGGGAGCAAACAGGAUUAGAUACCCUGGUA
rnacentral:rRNA from 1 species